rnacentral:snRNA from 1 species
ACUGCUUCUCGGCUCUCUGAGCUGAGAUCGUAUGUAGUGUGUUCUUUGCAGUGUAAUUCCUGCAACGGUCUCUAAACUGAGACAAAUGAAAUUACCUGUAUUUUUCGCUUACGGUCGGGUGCUGUGAGCUUGCUCAACCCUGUCCACGGGUCGGCCUCGAGGAUUGACCCAUUAAAA